AAUGCCUAGGAAAUUGCCUUGAUGUGGGGGAUAACCAUUGGAAACGAUGGCUAAUACCGCAUGAUGCCUACGGGCCAAAGAGGGGGACCUUCGGGCCUCUCGCGUCAAGAUAUGCCUAGGUGGGAUUAGCUAGUUGGUGAGGUAAUGGCUCACCAAGGCGACGAUCCCUAGCUGGUCUGAGAGGAUGAUCAGCCACACUGGAACUGAGACACGGUCCAGACUCCUACGGGAGGCAGCAGUGGGGAAUAUUGCACAAUGGGCGCAAGCCUGAUGCAGCCAUGCCGCGUGUAUGAAGAAGGCCUUCGGGUUGUAAAGUACUUUCAGUUGUGAGGAAGGAGGUGACGUUAAUAGCGUUAUCUCCUGACGUUAGCAACAGAAGAAGCACCGGCUAACUCCGUGCCAGCAGCCGCGGUAAUACGGAGGGUGCGAGCGUUAAUCGGAAUUACUGGGCGUAAAGCGCAUGCAGGUGGUUCAUUAAGUCAGAUGUGAAAGCCCGGGGCUCAACCUCGGAACUGCAUUUGAAACUGGUGAACUAGAGUGCUGUAGCGGGGGGUAGAAUUUCAGGUGUAGCGGUGAAAUGCGUAG
rnacentral:rRNA from 1 species